GUUUGAUCUUGGCUCAGGAUGAACGCUAGCGGGAGGCCUAAUACAUGCAAGUCGAGCGGUAUCUCGUCUUCGGACGAGAGAGAGCGGCGCACGGGUGAGUAACGCGUACAUGACCUACCUUCAAGACCGGGAUAGCCCUGGGAAACUGGGAUUAAUACCGGAUGUGAUAAUAGAUAUAGAGAUUUAUUAUUAAAGUUGAGGCGCUUGGAGAUGGGUGUGCGUCUGAUUAGCUAGUUGGUGAGGUAACGGCUCACCAAGGCGACGAUCAGUAGGGGGCGUGAGAGCGUGACCCCCCACACGGGUACUGAGACACGGACCCGACUCCUACGGGAGGCAGCAGUAAGGAAUAUUGGUCAAUGGGCGCAAGCCUGAACCAGCCAUCCCGCGUGCAGGAUGAAGGUCCUAUGGAUUGUAAACUGCUUUUAUCAGGGAAGA
rnacentral:rRNA from 1 species